rnacentral:rRNA from 1 species
GAUGAACGCUAGCUACAGGCUUAACACAUGCAAGUCGAGGGACCGGCGCACGGGUGAGUAACACGUAUCCACCCUGCCCUUUACUCGGGGAUAGCCUUUCGACAGAAAGAUUAAUACCCGAUGUAAAGGAUUGGGAUGCGUUCCAUUAGGUUGUUGGUGAGGUAACGGCUCGCCAAACCUUCGAUGGAUAGGGGUGCGGAGGGGAAGGUCCACUAGAUUGGAACUGCGAAACGGUCCAAAAUCAGACGGGAGGGAGAAGUGAGGAAUAGUGGGGAAUGAGGGUUAGCCUGAACAAGCCAAGUAGGGUGAAGGAGGAAGGCGUAUGGGUAGUAAACUUCUUUGAGAGAAGAAUAUGUAUUAUAUGAAUAAGGAUCGGCUAACUCCGUGCCAGCAGCCGCGGUAAUAC